UGAAUACGAGAUGCUACGGCAUUGAAGCAGUGUAUGUCAGACUUCCAAGAAAAGCUCGCAAUGUCAUAAACAAAAGAUGCCUGUACCAUAACCGACACAGGUGGGUAGGUAGAGUAUACUAAGGGGCGCGAGAUAACUCUCUCUAAGGAACUCGGCAAAAUGACUCCGUAACUUCGGGAGAAGGAGUGCCUUAUUUAAUAAGGUUGCAAUAACAAGAUCCAAGCAACUGUUUACCAAAAACACAGGUCUCCGCUAAGUCGAAAGACGAUGUAUGGGGGCUGACGCCUGCCCAGUGCCAGAAGGUUAAAGAAGUUGGUUAGCUUCGGCGAAGCUGAUGACUGAAGCCCUGGUGAACGGCGGCCGUAACAAUAACGGUCCUAAGGUAGCGAAAUUCCUUGUCGGGUAAGUUCCGACCCGCACCAAAGGCGUAAUGAUUUGGAUACUGUCUCGGAGAGGGGCUCGGUGAAAUAGACUUGUCUGUGAAGAUGCGGACUACCUGCACCUGGACAGAAAGACCCUAUGAAGCUUUACUGUAACUUGAGAUUGAAAUUGGACUUUAUUUGCGCAGUAUAGGUGGGAGACGUUGAUAGCAUUCUUGCGGGAAUAUUGGAGUCAUCAGUGAGAUACCACUCUUGUAAUGUUAGAUUUCUAACUUUGUAUCAUUAUCUGGUCAAAGAACAGUCUCAGGCGGGCAGUUUGACUGGGGCGGUCGCCUCCCAAAUGGUAACGGAGGCGCACAAAGGUUUCCUCUGAACGUGUAGAAAUCGUAUCUAGAGUGUAAAGGCAUAAGGAAGCUUGACUGUGAGACCUACAAGUCGAGCAGGGACGAAAGUCGGUCUUAGUGAUCUGACGGUGCUGAGUGGAAAGGCCGUCACUCAACGGAUAAAAGUUACUCUAGGAUAACAGGCUGAUCUCCCCCAAGAGUUCACAUCGACGGGGAGGUUUGGCACCUCGAUGUCGGCUCAUCGCAUCCUGGGGCGGUAGUACGUCCCAAGGGUUGGGCUGUUCGCCCAUGAAAGCGGUACGCGAGCUGGGUUCAGAACGUCGUGAGACAGUUCGGUCCAUAUCCGGUGUAGGCGUUAGAAUAUUGAGAGGAGCCUUCUUUAGUACGAGAGGACCGAGAAGGACAUACCUAUGGUGUACCAGUUAUCGUGCCAACGGUAAACGCUGGGUAGCUAUGUAUGGAGUGGAUAACCGCUGAAAGCAUCUAAGUGGGAAGCCCACCUCAAGAUAAGUAUUCCC
rnacentral:rRNA from 1 species